rnacentral:lncRNA from 1 species
UGUCCUCCGCGGGUGUGGGCACCGUGGGCUGCAGCCCCAAGUUGGGGGACUCCGCUGAAACAGAGACGAGGGGGGUCACGGCCAAGCUCGGGGCCCGCGGGCAGAUGUCUGGCCCGCUCCCGGCUGCACAGCCCUGCCUCCACGCUCAGCACCAGCAGGCUGGCACCCGCCCCGGUAGGCCCACAUUCGCAAGGGGUCCAGAGGGGGUGCGCUGGACAGCACUGGAACUCCGGCCGCCGGCCUCCACUGGGAGGAGCAAACACCACCCGCCCUGCUAUCAGCAGAUGCCCUGGUGCCGCCUUCAAAACAGGCCCACACCCCCACAGCUUCCUGCCACCCCUCGGCGAUGGCUUUGGUCCAGCUGCCAGCAUCUCUCACCUGCAUCACGGCAAACCUUCUGAUUGGCCCUCACGUCUACACGUGUCCCCAUCAGUCUCUUCUCAAAAUGAGGUCACGGUGCCCUCUGCCCAACCCCACGGGGCCCUUUCUUAUUACAGGAAAAGCCCAGAAGGCCCGACCCCUCUUCCUCCUGCUCCACGCCAUGGCCUGAGCACCUCUGGGACGCCCGAGACCCUCCUGCCCCAGACAUGCACAGGGCCCACUCCUGUCUCCUCCGAGCCUCUACUCAGGUGUCAGCUCAGCGAGGCCGUCCCCGGCCGCCUUAACCACCGCCUGAGGCCACCCGGCACCUGCCCUUCCCACCCUCCCCUGCUCUUUCUCGAGCAUUUACUGCUGCCCAGCGAAUGGGCCCGACAGUCACUCACCCGUCUGGGUUGCCCCGUUUCUCCCCUACUGGAACGAGCGGCCCCUGAGGACAGGCUCCUCUGUCUGGUUUGCUCAGCCCGAACCCCCAGGGCCGCACACAGGGCUGUCGACAGGAUGAGCGCAGGGGUCUCGGGUUCCUCGGCUGCUAAGCCAGGAUGAACAGCCCUUCCUACUUCUCACGCUGCGGCAAGGAGUACCUGAGGCAGUAAUACCGGAUGCCAACAGUCAGAUUCGCCUUGUGCCAAAACCGGUCUACAGAAAGCUGCGACCUGAACGUCACUAGUCAUCCCAAGUCCCUUCUCACGGGAAACCUGACACGUGAGGAACCAAUAUUGAGGCUAAUGAAUUAAUAGCCACAACCCGAACGUCACUAGUCAUCCCAAGUCCUUUCUCACUGGAAAUCUCACACAUGAGCAAUCAACAUUGAGGUUAAUAAAUUAAUAUCGUCCAUUCUUUAUUUGAAAGCAAUUUAGUUACAAAAUGCGUCAGGAAAGUUCCUUUUAAAACUAUCCAUUUUGGUACAUCAAAGAUAAAAAGAAAAGCCUGUUUAGAGGAAAAGUUCAACCAAAGCAACAGCCUAAAUGACUGUAACAAGUCAAUGGAAUCUGCAGAGUGGCAGUUUAAAUAGAAGCAUACAGUUCACCCCUGUGAAGAGUGAAAUGCGCUUCUCUUAAAAGCGCACGGGCGCCGUUAUGAUAAGGCAAAAGCAAGUCUUUAAAAGCUCACUGGAUGUGAAGCAGCCUCCAGCACGAGGCCAGCUCCCUCAGCAGGCACAACAGUGUCCCGUCCUUGCAGGGAGAUGUUCUAGCCUCAGAAAGGGAUCAACCCCAGAAGCGGAGGGGAUCCCUCGUGAAAUCUGGAGCUCACAAUUUCAGGGUUUGCCGCGAAGGUCACACGGCAGAAGUAACAACAGUAACCACGUCACCUCCUCUAGGAGGAACCUGGCUCCGGGUCCCGUGGAGACAAGAAGAAUCCGCGUCUGACACGACGGACCCCAGCGAUCGCCAGAGACAGUAAGGAAGAGAACGAGACCGGGGCAGCGGGCCAGGAGGCUGUCACACACAGGGACGGGGCGGCAGCUCAGCCCGUCAGCAGCAGGUGCGGAACGGGAAGAGGGGCUUCUCGUGCAGGCGAGCGAGGGCUCCCCCUCCACAGCCACAGGAAGUUAGACUGGAGGAGGGCACAGCCCGAGGCCCUGGGCCGGGCGGUACCGACAGACCCUGAAAGGGAGGCCCAGCUCCCGCCGGCGCUGCGUCCCAUGCCCCAGCCUCAUGGUGCUGGGCCUGGGCUCGGAGGUGAGUCACACACUCCUUCAGGGCACAGCCUGAGCCCCAUUCAGCACUCAAGGGCAGCUUCACAAGCUCUGACUUUACAGACGGCUGUGGAGAGUGACUGUUACCAAACUUCUGUUUACUCCACAGACUUCUUAAGACGCUGCGUGAGAUGAGACCUCCAGCUACGAUGCCCUGCCCGCACGCCACAGGCUCUGAAGAGGCAAAGGAGACUGUAAACUGAGACCUCACUGCUUUCGACGGGCUCCCAAGGGGCCACACCUGACUCGAUUCUGUUCCGCCAGCCCCCGCCGAGGGCCGCGGAGGUGAGUCACACACCCUUCAGGGGCACAGCCUGAGCCCCAUUCAGCACUCAAGGGCAGCUUCACAAGCUCAGACUUUACAGACGGCUGUGGAGAGUGACUGUUACCAAACUUCUGUUUACUCCACAGACUUCUUAAGACGCUGCGUGAGAUGAGACCUCCAGCUACGAUGCCCUGCCCGCACGCCACAGGCUCUGAAGAGGCAAAGGAGACUGUAAACUGAGACCUCACUGCUUUCGACGGGCUCCCAAGGGGCCACACCUGACUCGAUUCUGUUCCGCCAGCCCUCGCCGAGGGCUGCAGCGCCGGCUUCUAACCCUGGUCAACAAAGUGCACGCACAAAACAGGUGCUCCGGCACGUGGACUCUGCUGACGGUUCAAGGACAGUCCUGCAGGUCACACCCGACACCAGGGCCCACUCCCUAAAAAGCGCCUUCCAUGCAGAACCAGGCGACGUCACACUUUGCUUCCACAUUGAAAAGCAAAGGAGACCUGACGUUUAACCCCUAGAGCACCGGCUACUUAGGGUGGGACGGAACCUCCCGGAAGUUCUGCCAGCAACGCGACACCCCCACAUCGUGAGAAAACAACACGGCUCCUGAGCGCCCGGGAGGACCAGCGCUCUGGAGCGUUCUUUGCCAGGAACCUGCAGGCAGAGCCAAUAAUCCCUCUGUUACUAAUUCUGGGAAAAAACUGUUCUCGGUUUUCAAGGAAGAACACUUCCUUAAGGACCCACAUCUGCUUUUCCUCAGAAUUAUGAUAAAUCAUUCAGACGGUGUUUUUCUUAGCUUACUUUCUUUUUUUGUAAAGCUGCUUAGAUACUACAAAAGAGUCUUCAGACCUUGGUAACUGGCUAAGACCAGGGAACCUCACGCCCGCUAUCAGUCACUCCCAGUGUCGACGGCCUCCACUGAAGUCACAUGAAUGUACAGCCAUUUAUCAGGAGCAUCAAGCUCCAUCCUGAUUAUGUGGGGGGCGUAUAGAAAAAGGCAAACGCCCACAAAACCGCUCCUCAUGACUAAUGGUCAAGUUGGCAAAUGAAGUAGUCACGCAACAUUUUUAGGUGGGUUUAAAGAUAAAUAACACGCAUAAAAAUCGGAAGAACUCAGUACCCUUACAGGAUAAUUGUGACGGACAAUAAACCCACGAAAAGAUGCUCAACGUUGCUCGUCACAAUCAAGACUACAGUGAGGUGUGACGUCAUACCAACCAGAACGGCCGUCAUCGAAGAACAGGAGAGAUUCCCCUGGCGGUCCAGUGGUCAAGAACCUGCCUGGCAAUGCAGGUUCCAUCCCUGGUGGGGCCUAAGGUUCCUCCCACACGCCUCGGAACAGCACAGCCCGAGUGCCGCCGGCUGAGCCCAUCCCCGUGACUGGAGAGUCCCUGCACCACGAGGGAAGGGCCCACGUGAGGCCACGGCCGUCCCUCCUGCCACAACUCUAACCCAAAGCAGCCAAAUAAAUAAAGAUUAAAAAAAGCUACGAACAGUAAAUGCUGGACGAGGUGGGCCCGGGGGAGGCCCCGGCCCCCCCCCCUGCCACAACUCUAACCCAAAGCAGCCAAAUAAAUAAAGAUUAAAAAAAGCUACGAACAGUAAAUGCUGGACGAGGUGUGCAGAAAAGGGAACCCUCCAGCACUGUUGGCAGCGAUGGGAGCUUGGUACUGCCACUGUGGAGAACAGUCUGGGGAUUCCUCAACAAACUUGGAAUAAACCCGUCGCGUGACCCAGCAGUCCUGCUACCGGGCGCACAGGCAAGAACACCACAGUCCAGACAGACAGACGCCCGCCAGCAGUCACCGCAGCACCACUCACAGCAGCUAGGACACGGGAGCAACCUAGAUGUCCACCGCCAGACGAACGGUAAAGAAGGCGUGGAACGCAUAUACAGUGGGACAGUGCUCAGCCAUAAGAGGAACACCUCUGAGUCGGCUGUCAUGAGGUGGAUGAACCUAGAGCCUGUUACACAGAGUGAAAUAAAUCAGAAAGAGAAAGAUAAACACUGUAUAUUAACGCAUCUAUACGGAAUCUAGAGAAACAGGACCGAUGAACCUAUUUACAGCGAAGAAAUGCAGGGGAAGGAGACGGGGGUGGGAGGGGGCCACUGAGAGCCGUGGUGACAUCUGUGCCCCAGUGUGGGUAAAACGGCUAGCUGGCGGGGAGCCGCUGGAAAACCCAGGGAGCGACGACCGGGCCGGGCCGGGCGGAGGCGCGAGCGGGAGGAGACACACACAGAGUCGUGACCCAUUCACGCUGGUAGACGCGGAGACCGACGUAGCUCUGUGAAGUGAUGAUACGCCAAUUAAAAACCCCCAACAACAAAAAAUGUGUAACUGCUUCGGCCCAAGCAAGAAGAGGGCACAGCUCUAAGAAGAAACGAGGUUUUAAAACUACCAAGAUUUACCAGCUUUGGUGAAAGAGAACGCCCUUGGGCAACAGGAUGACGCUUUAUAUCGCAGAGGACACGGCUGCCCCGGUCAGCGAAGCAUGCUGACGGUCACAGGCACCAAGGAGCCCCCGGUCGGGUGCACGUGGCGCACACGGGUCACAGGACCAAUGGCCUGCUGCACCUGGAGAGACCCCGGCUGGAUGGAGACCCUGAGUGAGGCACCGGCACCCAGGCUGGCGGCGAGCCUGCGCUCGGAACGGACGGACCGGCAGCUCCCCUCUGCUGCACCGAGCGUGAGCCAGUGCUCGGCUUCAGGAGCUCCGCGUACCUGCGUUCCAAGACAAUCAGGGAGCAGAAGAAAGACCCCUCGAGACUGUAUGCAGGUUCACAGGUAAGAAGCUUCAGAAGUUACACCCUGAAGCUUCCAGGGGACUUCUGCAAACAGAAAGUCUUGAAUACCCAAGGGUCACCUUCCCAGUGAGGCCUCCCUCGACCACCCUGCUGGGAAGCACGGCCCCCGCCGCAAAACUCAGCUCCUCUUCCGGCCGCUUUCGCGUCCCGGACCUCAGGGUCGGACAGGGUCGGAGCUGGAGCAAGCUCAGGGUGCUGCGCUGGGCACCCCGAAGACAGGGUGUCCUUGUGACGAAGAGCCUUCCAGCCCCACGUGAUCGUCAGGCUGUGUGACGCACUUUCAGGAGGAGACCCCAACUCACCCUUCCCGUGUCCCCGAGGGGGCUCACCCACACCUCAGGUGGCCCCGGGAGCCAGAGAACAGCCCGUGAUGCCGUGACUUUUAACUUCUGGAGCCGAACAGACAGUGAACACCCUGCCCUCCGCCACGAGACCAUGUCUACCUUGCAGCAGGCCCGUCAGCCCAUUCCGUUCAUCCCAAGACACCGGGUGCCCACACAGUGG